AAAGCUCCUUAGGUGGUGGCCUUUUCUGCUAUUCUUACUUGCAGCAGGUCUUCUUAUCUUUGAAGCCUCUCGAAUUGGAAGAAGACCUAGUUCGGUUGUUAAAAAUUCGAAUCCAGUGACUGGAAAUAAAACUGAUAAGGUUGUUGAGAAGAAACCGCCGACGAACUUGAAUCGCCUUGAUCUAGUGACUCAUGUCGUGCAUGGAGUUAGAGAACCUUGCUUGAAG
rnacentral:misc_RNA from 1 species